UACGUAGGGGGCAAGCGUUGUCCGGAAUUAUUGGGCGUAAAGAGCGUGUAGGCGGUCCGGUAAGUCGGCUGUGAAAGCCCAGGGCUCAACCCUGGGAUGCCGGUCGAUACUGCCGGACUAGAGUUCGGAAGAGGCGAGUGGAAUUCCCGGUGUAGCGGUGAAAUGCGCAGAUAUCGGGAGGAACACCUAUGGCGAAGGCAGCUCGCUGGGACGUUACUGACGCUGAGGCGCGAAAGCGUGGGGAGCAAACAGG
rnacentral:rRNA from 1 species